rnacentral:rRNA from 1 species
CAGUCGCCGCGGUAAAACGUAGGGUGCAAGCGUUAAUCGGAAUUACUGGGCGUAAAGCGUGCGCAGGCGGUUUGUUAAGACAGAUGUGAAAUCCCCGGGCUCAACCUGGGAACUGCAUUUGUGACUGGCAAGCUAGAGUAUGGUAGAGGGGGAUGGAAUUCCGCGUGUAGCAGUGAAAUGCGUAGAUAUGCGGAGGAACACCGAUGGCGAAGGCAAUCCCCUGGACCUGUACUGACGCUCAUGCACGAAAGCGUGGGGAGCAAACAGGAUUAGAUACCCCUGUAGUCCCUGUCUCUUAUAC